rnacentral:lncRNA from 1 species
UCAAACAUCAAAAUUUGUUUGCAAACAGACCCAAAAAAUCCAGCUAUGGGCAAUACGGAGAAGCUGUUGAACCAGAUCAUGGACCUCAAAUUCACCUCCAAAUCGCUGCAACGCCAGGCCAAGAAGUGCGAGAAGGAGGAGAAAUCUGAGAAAUUGAAGGUGAAAAAGGCGAUCGAGAAAGGUAACAUGGACGGUGCUCGGAUCUACGCCGAGAACGCCAUCCGUAAGCGCACUGAGCAGAUGAACUACCUGCGUCUCGCUUCCCGACUCGAUGCUGUAGUUGCCAGGCUCGAUACCCAGGCUAAGAUGACCACCAUC